rnacentral:lncRNA from 1 species
AGCAUUGGACAUCAUGCUAGCCUCUGGGGACAGAGAGUUACACAAAAUAUGACUCUCACCUUUAAAAGAUCAUAGUCUUUCUGGAGGUGUGGAAACUAUGAGCAGAGAGAUAGUAAUGCCAGGGACAGCAUCAGAAUUUGUAGAACUCUGUCUUAUCUGGGUGCAGAUACGUGAGCCCCAGCUACUGUUCCAGCACCGUGUCUGCCUGCCUUCUUCCAUGUUUCCUGCCAUGAUGGUCAUGGACUCUGAAACUAUGUGCUAAAAGUAUGGUUUGUGCAUAGAGGCCAGAAGGUACCUUGCUGUAUUCAGUUCUGUUUUUCACUGUUUGAGUCCUGCAAACUGCACUCCAGUGGUUGGGCUUGGGAGCAAGCGCCUUUGCCCACAGAGCCAUCUCACUGGUCCCUGACUUACAGUAUGUUUAUAAUGGCUUCAUCAGGCUCUACCCUCAUCCCAAACUAGAAGUAUCCACACAAGACAAUAAAGACACUAUGUGGCACAUCACAAGGGCAGAGCCUUUGUCUUAGUUGAAGGAAUUUAUGGUAAAAAUUCAAGGGAAUAAAGAAAAAACAGGAAGUGA